UUUUUGUGGUCGGAAAAGGGUAAACCAGGUGUGGUGAUUGUCUGUCGGUAUGCAAGAGGCACGUGCACGGCUUUAUCUAUGCAGGGCCCUUCUUCCUUCACGGAUGGUCGUGGUGCUGCCUGGUGUGGCGUGAAUGCAGGGACGAAUUUAGUCGGAAUCUCUCUUAAUUUUAUUGUUGUUUCUUAGAUAUUGCAAGUCCUAACUACGCCAGUGAGAGCCCCGGCACCAGCAGCUUAGGGAAAUCCAGCCGGGCAGGUCUGGGACACCAGGCGGCAGCAGGGCCGGGAAGCCAAGCGUCACGCGCAAGCCAUGGGGGAUUGACUCGGACCCGGGACGUAGAUGGCUAAUCCGUCGGGGCAGACAACGAAGAAAUACUGAGAGAAAAACAAUGGGGAAGUACGGUCCGUUCGAAGCACCUGGGAACGCCGAUGGAGCUUAGAACGACGGAGGGCCCGAACGCCAUGCUAGGACACCGCCGCGGCCCAGAGAACAGCCGACGCGACAGGAAACAAGGGGAUAUGAGCGCCAGAGAACGCUGACGCUGGGUCGGAGAUUUAGCACAGGCCGUCGGGGUUUGCCGUGCCGAACAACCACUGGCACGGAGCUCGAGGGAAUGGACAGUAGUGGAGGCAGGGUGAAGGCUGCAACAGCGGUCGGAAGGGAAGGCGAUAUCAAUGUGGUGUUAGUUUUUACUUGGGUUACAUUAUGGACUAGGUGGAGCCCGGCAUUGUAUUGUGAAAUAUGGGACAGGCCCAUUGUCUUGUACAUGUGCAUGUGGUGGUUGCAAUAUGGGCUGGACCCAUGGUCUGGUGUAAUCUGUGUAAUAGAAAAUGGGACAGGCCCAUCGUCUUGCUUAAUUUGUGUAAUAAAUAUGGGACAGGCCCAUGGUCUUGUGUAAUCUGUGUGAUAAAAUAUGGGACAGGCCCAUCGUCUUGUGUAAUCUGUGUAAUAAAAUAUGGGACAGGCCCAUGGUCUUGUGUAAUCUGUGUAAUAAAAUAUGGGACAGGCCCAUGGUCUUGUGUAAUCUGUGUGAUGAAAUAUGGGACAGGCCCAUCGUCUUGUGUAAUCUGUGUAAUAAAUAUGGGACAGGCCCAUGGUCUUGUGUAAUCUGUGUAAUAAAAUAUGGGACAGGCCCAUGGUCUUGUGUAAUCUGUGUGAUAAGAUAUGGGACAGGCCCAUCGUCUUGUGUAAUUUGUGUAAUAAAUAUGGACAGGCAAUUUAUGGACUGUGUAAUAAAUGUGGAAACUAUGGAAGAUGGGUGUAGGAGGAAGGAUGCUUGACAAUAUACACGAGUUUCUGAACAGACUGAACAGAUUCUGUGUUAAUGAUCACACUACAGAAUGGAAGGAAACGUAUGUUGGCAUACCACAGGGUGCUAUACUGUCACCUACGUUGCAACGCUUACACAUGUGAUAUGCUGAACAUGGAGAGUACGCUGAUGACAAUAUGCUGUGGAAAAGGGGUAAGGACAUAGAUGCACUAGUGAGUACAGUUCAGGAAGACAUUAACAGUACACUACAGUGGUGCAAUAAAUGGAAUGCAAAGGUACAAGCUGCAAAAACUGAA